rnacentral:rRNA from 1 species
GACGAACGCUGGCGGCAUGCCUAACACAUGCAAGUCGAACGAGACCUUCGGGUCCUUUGGCGCACGGGUGCGUAGCGCGACGGGACAUUCACUUGUGUUUGACCUACCUCCCAGAAAGGGGUACUAAUACCGGACAGUGUCUAAGACCCAAAGAUUUAUCGCCCUUGGAUGUGCCCGCGUUGGAUUAGCUAGUUGGUAGGGUAAAAGCCUACCACCGCGAGGAUCCAUAGCUGGUCUGAGAGGAUGGGCAGCCACACUGGGACUGAGACACGGCCCAGACUCCUACGGGAGGCAGCAGUGGGGAAUGGUGGACAAUGGGGGGAAGGAUGAUGCAGCAAUGCCGGGUGAGUGAUGAAGGUAGUGGAGUUGUAAAGCUCUUUUAACCGGGAUGAUAAUGACAGUACCGGGAGAAUAAGCCCCGGCUAACUCCGUG